rnacentral:tRNA from 1 species
GUCACAGUCGCCUAAUGGACGGGCAUCAACCUUCUAAGUUGUUUUGUGUAGGUUCGAAUCCUAUCUGUGACAAAA